rnacentral:misc_RNA from 1 species
GAAGAAAAAAGUUUUCUGUGAACCUUUAUUGUGAAAUAUCAAAUGCGUAAAAGAGGAGGAGAUCUUGCCAGUUGUGCAGCGAAGCGGCGGAAACAAAAAGAAUAUCGACGAAAUGAAACGGAAGAAGAGCACAAAGGACGUUUAUAAAAUCAAUGAACCAGAAUGAGCACCCUGAUAAGCAGAAAAAGCGAAGAAAGAAAAGAAAAUAAAAGUAUUGAGG